rnacentral:rRNA from 1 species
GAUGAACGCUGGCGGCGUGCUUAACACAUGCAAGUCGAACGAUGAAGCCCGGCUUGCCGGGUGGAUUAGUGGCGAACGGGUGAGUAACACGUGAGUAACCUGCCCUUAACUCUGGGAUAAGCCUGGGAAACUGGGUCUAAUACCGGAUAGGAGCGUCCACCGCAUGGUGGGUGUUGGAAAGAUUUAUCGGUUUUGGAUGGACUCGCGGCCUAUCAGCUUGUUGGUGAGGUAAUGGCUCACCAAGGCGACGACGGGUAGCCGGCCUGAGAGGGUGACCGGCCACACUGGGACUGAGACACGGCCCAGACUCCUACGGGAGGCAGCAGUGGGGAAUAUUGCACAAUGGGCGCAAGCCUGAUGCAGCGACGCCGCGCGAGGGAUGACGGCCUUCGGGUUGUAAACCUCUUUCAGUAGGGAAGAAGCGAAAGUGACGGUACCUGCAGAAGAAGCACCGGCUAACUACGUG